AGCGAACGCUGGCGGCAGGCUUAACACAUGCAAGUCGAGCGGGCCUUUCGGGGUCAGCGGCGGACGGGUGAGUAACGCGUGGGAACGUGCCCUCUGGUUCGGAAUAACUCAGGGAAACUUGAGCUAAUACCGGAUACGCCCUUUUGGGGAGAGGCUUGCUGCCGGAGGAUCGGCCCGCGUCUGAUUAGCUAGUUGGUGAGGUAACGGCUCACCAAGGCGACGAUCAGUAGCUGGUCUGAGAGGAUGAUCAGCCACACUGGGACUGAGACACGGCCCAGACUCCUACGGGAGGCAGCAGUGGGGAAUAUUGGACAAUGGGCGCAAGCCUGAUCCAGCCAUGCCGCGUGAGUGAUGAAGGCCUUAGGGUUGUAAAGCUCUUUUAUCCGGGACGAUAAUGACGGUACCGGAGGAAUAAGCCCCGGCUAACUUCGUG
rnacentral:rRNA from 1 species